rnacentral:rRNA from 1 species
GACGAACGCUGGCGGCGUGCUUAACACAUGCAAGUCGAACGGAAAGGCCCUGCUUUUUUGGGGUGCUCGAGUGGCGAACGGGUGAGUAACACGUGAGUAACCUGCCCUUGACUUUGGUAUAACUUCAGGAAACUGGGGCUAAUACCGGAUAGGAGCUCCUGCUGCAUUGUGGGGGUUGGAAAGUUUCGGCGGUUGGGGAUGGACUCGCGGCUUAUCAGCUUGUUGGUGGGGGAGUGGCUUACCAAGGCUUUGACGGGUAGCCGGCCUGAGAGGGUGACCGGCCACAUUGGGACUGAGAUACGGACCAGACUCCUACGGGAGGCAGCAGUGGGGAAUAUUGCACAAUGGGCGGAAGCCUGAGGCAGCAACGCCGCGUGCGGGAUGACGGCCUUCGGGUUGUAAACCGCUUUCGCCUGUGACGAAGCGUGAGUGACGGUAAUGGGUAAAGAAGCACCGGCUAACUACGUG